GUCCACGCCGUAAACGAUGUCUACUUGGAGGUUGUGGCCUUGAGCCGUGGCUUUCGGAGCUAACGCGUUAAGUAGACCGCCUGGGGAGUACGGUCGCAAGAUUAAAACUCAAAUGAAUUGACGGGGGCCCGCACAAGCGGUGGAGCAUGUGGUUUAAUUCGAUGCAACGCGAAGAACCUUACCUACUCUUGACAUCCAGAGAAC
rnacentral:rRNA from 1 species